ensembl:lncRNA
GUCAACAUUGGUAGUUUAUAAAUAAAAUAGACUUUGACUAUUGCACUAUUGCUUGUGUAAAGAACCUUUGUGUAGACAUGUACAGUAAAAACAUCUCGGCAUUUCUUACCAUAAUAUUUUCCCAAACUAAUGGCCAUUUUCCACUGCAUGGUACCGGCUCAACUACUCGUCUAUAGCCUCGACUUUAAUGCUUCAUGGGGGACAGUUCUUUACUGUGUUUGAACACCGUUGUGUCCGUAGAUGGCGCUAUAGCUAAUUGCACAUGUGUAAGGCAAGACAAUAGCAAUUUGGAUUCCACGCUGUUGUACCGUGAAAACUAGAAGGAACAUUCAUUUUAGCGACUUGGUUCUCUCGUCAACUCUAGUUCAAAGUGUAUAAGCUAUAUGCUCUGAAUUGGACAAUACAACAUGUUGAUUAUCAAAUUGUUUUACUACAAUUUGAUGAACUCCCGAAACAAACGAAGAUCAAGGAUUUUUUGGACAUCAGACCGAAAAUUGUUGAACGCAGAGUCACCUACAUCGAUGGUGAUGACGUUUUCUGUAGUUUUGUUGCCGGACCAGGAUGACUGUGUGGCAGCAGUUCCACGCCAGGAUGGAGCAAGCACAGUACUCUAAGGCACCAGAGAGGUACUCCAUGCCACCAUGUAGAGGAUGGCUACAUAGGGCAAGAAUGCAGAGGCAGGGGGAAGUUUUAGCUCUGCACAUGAAGAACAUUUGGAGAAGAUCAAGUGGCUGACUGAAGAGAAGGUUGAGCUGAGGGCACAGCUGGCUCUACAAUCAGGAGCCAUAAGGAAGAAUCCUUCCAACUGGGAUGCCACUGACGAGGCUGUCCAGAACCAGGUCCCCAGGUACCAGAAAGGGGCAGCUGCCCGUGCAGGUGGGAGAUGUCGCGGCGGUACAAGGGACCUGCCGUGAAUAUGAAUGACAUCUCCAGCACAACCAAUAUUGCUGCUAAGCUGCAGUACUGUAUUUCUUUUUUAUAUAUA